AAACACUGACAUGUGUGUUAGUGUCAAGUGCAGUUUUAUUUAUCCUUUAAGUUUUUAUAUAUGGAUACAGUGUAUCAGAAUUUAAAAAUGAUUUUCUGAUUAUAAUGUUUUUAACAAGUUGAAUUCUAACAUUUUUUUAAUUUAUUCAUUCUGUGUAUAUGAGUACACUGUAGCUGUUGUCUUCAGACACAUGCACAGAAGAGGGCUUUGGAUCCCAUUACAGAUGGUUGUGAGCCACUAUGUGGUUGCUGGGAAUUGAACUCAGGACCUCUGGAAAGAGCAGUCAGUGUUCUUAACCACUGAGCCAUCUCUUCAGCCCGAAUUCUAACAAUUUUAAUUUAAUAAAUUGAGUUAAACAAGUGAAAUUUAACAAGUUGAAAUUUAGCAAGUAUAAAAGUCAGUUGUUCCCCAGCCAGAGAUACCAUUGUUCAUGUCUAGAGCAGUUUUAUGUAGAUGUUCAUGACAGUGGACUUUAUAGUUUGUGGAGGCAUAUCCUUCCUUUUCAUGAUCACAUUAUGGACAUUUUGUAUGUUAAAAGUGCGUACUUGAAUGAUAGUUUAAAUUUGUAUGGUGUAGCAGCAGUCUGCGGUGAUUAUUCAUCAGGUAUUGCAUUUGUUUGGUUUAAGCUCUCUGACUUAAAGGAUGCAGUCAGUCAAGCAGCACCUGCGUUUGGAUUUGGAAGCAAGCAAGCAGGGACAUUUGGGUCACCAGGUAAGACAAUGUGGCUCAGAAAAGUGGGAUUCUGUGGAUUUCAACUUUAGAAAGCCUGAGUCACCAUUU
rnacentral:lncRNA from 1 species